CCCCUAGACGUUCUGGGCUGCACGCGCGCUACAAUAAUACGCACAGCGAUUAUCACCGAGCUCGAAAGGGCAAGGUAAACAAUAGAAAAGGUACUGUAAUGGUUAUAGAUCCUUGUAAUUAUUGAUCUUCAACGAGGAAUUCCUAGUAAGUAUGUGUCAUCAUCACGCACUGAUUACGUCCCUGCCCUUUGUACACACCGCCCGUCGCUCCUACCGAUUGAGUGAGCCAAUGAAACUGCCGGAUGUGGACUAUUCAUAGUCUGCAGAAGAUAUUUGAAUCGUAGCGCUUAGAGGAAGGAGAAGUCGUAACA
rnacentral:rRNA from 1 species